AUUGACCAUAUAAGCAUAAAACUAGCAGAAAUCAUGAUCAUGUCGAUAGAUGCAGAAAAAGCUUUUGGCAACAUGCAGCACUCACUUCUGUUAAAAAUACUAGAAAGCAUAGGAAUAAAUGGAACUUAUGUUAAAAUGAUAAACAGUAUUGAUCUAGAAACUGGAAAUUAGAACUUAUAGUUCAAAGUAGGCAUACUUUUUUUUUUUUUGUCCAUUGAAAAUAAGGGAAGAGUGGUUAUGUGGCACAAUGUAUAGGAUACAGUCCUUACUCAACUUCAGAAACUUGACAUUUAAUAGCUGUAUGACCCUGGACAAAAAAACAAACAAAACAAAAGAAAAGAAAAAACUAAAGAAAAUAAGGGAUUUUGGCAGGGAGGAUAAGUGUGUGAGAGUGAGUGCAAAAGCCCAGGAGCUUCAAUGAUUUCCCUUCAGUAUUUAUUUUUUGUUAAGAACUUUUGUUUUUGUUAAUAUUUUCUAUUUUUCCCUAAUUAAAUGUAUAAACAAUUUUUGACAUUCAUCUUUUGAAAUUUUGAAGUCUUCCAAAUUCUUUCCCUCCUUUGUCUCCCCAUUCCUUGAGAAGGCAAGUAAUUUGAUAUAGGUUAAAACAUUUUCAUAUUAGUAAAGCCCUGAAAGAAACAUACAAAAACAAACUAUAAAAAAUAAAAUUUUAAAAAGUAUACUUUGAUUUACAUUCAAUUUCUAUGAUAUCCACUUCCAGAGAGUUACAGAUGAAAACAUAUUUUUAAAAACUUUAUUUUCUUGUUUUGUUUUAUUUUAAUUUCACUUCAGUAUUACCCUUGCUUAGAAUUUUCUUUUGUAUCUAGAUGCACUGGUGAAUUUGUGGGCAUUCAAAUAUUGCCAUGUUUUUGCUCUCUGAGGAGAAAAAGUCAAAAGAUAAAUAUUUUUCACAUUUCUUUCUUUCACGUGUAGACUUCUUAAACUACGGUGAUAGAUGUGGUAUUUUCUAUCAAAUAGGCAUUUUAUUGCUUUCCAACUCUUUUCUCAUGGUUCUUUUAUUUUUUUUUUCUUUUUUCCCUUUCUCAAAUAGGUGUACCUGUGGGUGGAUAACAAUUUGUCGACAGUAAUUAGGAAAGGGGGGGGGGGGGCUAGAGCUCUUCAAGAUUUUUCCCUUCAUAAACCCUAAUUUAUAGUACAAAACGGAAACAUGAUAAAAAAAACCCCAGAAAACACCGAUUUUGGCUGACAAAUCAACCCACAGAAUGAUCAUUGCAACAACUGAAAAGUAUCUAUUGGACUAAUUACAUGAAAUAUGAGGCUCCUGGUAUCGUGUGCGUCGGACUAGGGAGAAUGCAGGAUCAGCUCGGGAGGGGUCUAGAAGGGCCGGGCUGCGCCGUCGGGCUCGGCUCUUCUGCAGGGCUGGGAAUGGGCAGCGCGCCGCCUCCGGCCAGGCUGUCUGUUUGUGGCUACAAUUCAUUUCUAGGGGUUCGUGGUGGCUGCGCCCGAGCUGUCCCCUCCUCCUGGGCAUUUUCGUUUUUAUGAUGUCAAGUAAGAACUUUUUGUCUUUUGGUGAGCAGGCCCAGGUUCCGGUGCCUUUCCCCACGGACUGCCGCGGGCCUGUACUGGAGCCCGGGUGGGGGACAGGUGGGAAUUUGGGUGUGAUGUAGUAAUGUUUGAUCGGCAUACUCAUUUUAUAUAGCUAGAUACCUGGGGCCAUGUCAAAAUGUCUCUGGUGAACAGGAGUAGCAAGUAGAAAAAGUGUAAGAAGCCCUGGCCUAAACUGGAAGAAACCAAAAAUCUCAAAGUUAUCAAUUUUUAGCGCUUAAUAAAAGCUUACUGACAAAUGAGCAUUUUGUAACUAUAUCACUGUGUUUUAUAAUUACAUGUGAUAGGUUAUAGUAUAACUAGGCAGAAAUAAUUAUGGCUGACCAUACAAAAGUAUAAACAAUUUAUAAUUACAAGAAGGGACUCCAGGAGUCUCCCCCCUCUUCCGGUAUAACGAUAGGGCCUAAUGGGAGGAUUUUCAGACUCAAAACUUGCCUUCCGCUAUGUCUGGAGGCCUAGACGAAGCUCCCACGUUGCCUGUGCCUUGACUCCGCCCCCCCACCCAGGACACGUGAGCAAAAGGGACUUGCACAGGCGCAGCAGGUAAGGGUGGGGUCAACGGAAAUCUCUCUCCCCUUUGGCUUUAGAAGGCAGCCAUGCCGUGGCUGGCGAGGGCCCUGAGUGCGAGCAGACGGUUGGGCCGCAGGGCUGUCGCCCUCCCUUGCCCGUGCACUGCUCUGAGCCCCCGCGGGCAGGAGUGCUCUCCUGUGAAAGUCGCCUGGCCUCUGACCCCCGUGAGUUGGGAGGGGGGGGUGACCAGGAGGAGGAGGAGGCCCCAGCCUUGCACGUGGGCCUUGUGUGGACGAAUGGGGCGUUCUUUCCUCCUCAGCUUUCCAGGCCCUGCCUGCCCCAGCAUCCGCCUAAAUGGGAGGGAAGACCCCUGGCCCGGGAUUCUGCUUUGGGCUCUGAGCCUCCGGUCUUUUUAGUUGUAAAAUGAAGCUAAUGAUAUUUCUAUUACAGUAGGAAAAUGAGAUGACUGGUCUAAAGAAUUGUAUCCCAAUGUGAAUGCGAGUUUUUCUUCUGCUUUUUCUUCUUUGGUUCUCAGCUCUCUUCUCCUUUGCCCUCUCCCACGUGGGUGGCCUUUGUUGGGCAGAUCUCCUAGGGUUGCAGAUUAGGGACCGGAAGGGGUCUUUGCAGUUAUACCCAUCAGCCCUUUAGUGGGUCCGGUGUCUAAACAAACCAGCUAGGACAGUUGUUGUCCGAAUUACCACCUACGAGCUCCUAAGGAGUCUGCUCUUGAGUAUGUCUUGAUGACCUGAAAUUACUACACCAAAGUGACGUGACUUUUUUCCUACUUUGACAGGUUUCCAAGAUAGUGUCUGUCAAAGAUCAGCUGAUAGAGAAGCUCAUUAAGGAAGCGUCUCCUCCCCAUAAUAAGAUCUCCAUUAUAGGAGCUGGUCCAGUUGGCAUGGCAUGUGCCAUCAGUAUUUUAAUAAGAGAGUUAAUUGAUGAACUUGCCCUUGUAGAUGCUGAUGAAAACAUAGUAAAGGGACAGAUGAUGGAUCUUCAACAUGGGAGCCAAUUCAUUAACAUGCCAAAGAUUGUCUCUGACACAGACUACAAAGUGACUGCAAACUUGAAGCUGAUUAUCAUCACGGCUGGUAUAUGCCAGGAAAAAGCACAAAGUCAGCUUGACUUGGUUUAUGGAAAUGUGGAAAUUUUUAAGUCAGUGAUUCCAAGUAUUGUCCAGUACAGCCCCAACUGCCUAAUACUUAUUGUUAGCAGCCCAGUGGAUAUUGUAACUUAUGUCGCCUGGAAGUUAAGUGGUUUUAGCAUAUACCGCAUCAUUGGAAGUGACUGUAACCUGGACACUGCCCGUUUUCGUCUCUUAAUUGGGGAGAAGAUGGGUAUCCAUUCUAGUAGUUACCAUGGGUGGGUCCUUGGAGAGCAUGGAGACAGUUCUGUGCCUGUGUGGACUGGGAUUGCUGGUGCUUCUCUGAAGAGUUUGAACCUGGAUGUAGGAACCAGUAAAGACAUGGAGCAGUGUGGAAAUCUCCAUAAAAAGUUGGUUGCAAGUGCUUAUGAUGUGAUCAAACUUAAAGGCUGUGCUUCCUGGGCUAUUGGCUUGUCUGUGGCAGAUCUGACAGACACUAUUAUGAAGAAUCUUAAGAAGAUACAUUCAGUUUCUACUAUGAUUAAGCAACGUUUAAAGCUCCACAACAUAUGAGUCAUCAGCCAGAUCCUGCCAGCUGUUAACAUCAUCCUUCUCCCAACAAAAUGUUAUGUUCAACUUGUAUCUUCCCAGACAGGGUGAAGUCCUAUCAUCCUCUGGCCUGUUACAGUCUCACUUGGAUUAAUGCAGUGGUCUCUCUGCCCUCAGCCUCUCCUUUUGCCAGUCCAACUUUUAUACAGCUGCUGGAUGGACAUUCUGAAAUCCCCAGUGUCACAUCUCUGCUCAAUAAGAUCCAGUAGUUUCUUUAAUGUCCUUAACAUAAAACAAACUCCUUUGAUAUUUUAAAGAUGUGUUCAUAGUUAUCUUUCCAGAUUGAUUGCCCCCUACACUCCUAAUCCAUCAAUGGAUUGUCAAACCAGCCUUAGUUAUCUUUCCAGAUUGAUUGCCCCCCUAUACUCCUAAUCCAUCAAUGGAUUGUCAAACCAGCCUAUCUGAGGAUCUCUCUACAAGAUGAUCCUUCCUCUUCCUGGCUCUAUCUUUGCACAGAUCAUGUUCCAAAACUGCUGGGAAAACCUGGAGAAUAGUAUGGUAGAAACUAGGCAUAGAACAUCAUCUUACAAUCACAUGCCAAGAUAGGGUUAAAAUGAGUACAUGAUUUACACAUAAAUGGUAGAAUAUGGAAGUUUAUCUGUCAGUUCUUGGGAAAGGGAAAAAUUUAGGACCAAACCAAAAAUAGAUCAUUAUAAAAUGUAAAGUAGAUCAUUUUGAUUAUAUAAAAUUUUGGCAAAAACAAAAUUAAUGCAACCCAAAUGAUACGAAACACACCACCUAAGAAAUUUUUUUUUUUGCAGUAUCUCUGAUAAAGGCCUCAUUUUUCAAAUAUACAAACUGAAAACUGUACAUAUUUCAAAUACAAGUCAUUCCCCAAUUGAUAAAUACUCAAAAGCAGUUUUUAGUCAAACAAUUCAGAGCUAUUUAUAGUCAUAUAAAAAAUGCUCUAGAGAAAAAGCAAAUUAAAACAACUCUGAGGUACUACCUCACACCUAUCAGAUUAGCUAAUCUGACCAAAAAAAGAAAAAAAAAGAAAAAGAAAAAAGGCGGAAUGGUUUAAUAAGCUGUUUGUAGAUGAUUGUAAUGGAAUAUUACUGUGCUCUAAGAAAUGAUAUAACCAGGAUGUUUUCAGAAAAAUCUGGAAAGACUUACAUGGACUGAUGCAAAGUGAAGGGCACGGAACUAGAACAUCAUAUAUAAUAAUGGUAAUAGUUCAGUGAAGAACUAUGAAUGACUUGGCUGUUCUCAGCAAAACAACAAGAUAAAGAAUUGUGUUUGAGUACAGAUUGAAGCAUACUAUUUUUCACUUCCUUUCGUUCUAUUUCUGUUAUUCAAAUCUUUUUGUACAAAAGGACCAACGUGGAAACGUUUUGUAUGAAGGCAUGGAUAGCUUACUGCUUACCCUUCUGGGGGAAAGGAAAACAAUUUUGAACUCAAAACUUUAAAAAAACAAACAAAAAACUCCCCCCCCCCCCAACAACCUGUUUUUAACAUGUAAUGAGGGGACACACAAUUAAAAAAAGAAAAAACUUUCCUCAAGUGAGCUUACCAUCCAUUUCUCACUUCUCUCAACAAAUUAUUUUGUAUACAUUUUCUUUUUACAUUUUUCUUUGUACACUAAAGCUCCUGAAGGAAAGCAGAUGUUUUCAUUUUUGUACUACUAGUUUCUAGCCCAGUGCCUGGCUCAUGGGGCAUUGCUAAGAAUGCUUGAUCUGAAGUAGAUCUACUUAUUUACAAUUUACAACUGUUUGCCUAUGUAGUAAUCCAUAGUAGUACAUGGAUAGUAAUCCAUGUAGCCAAAAAUAAUCCCACAUGAACAAGCAAUUAAUUGUCUGCUUAGAAACAGGAUUACAGUCAUCUUUCUACUCUUUAUAAGUUUGGGGGUGGGGGAAGAAGUGAAACAAAAGGCAAGAGAAUGACCAUUAUACAGAAACCUCUUUGAACUCAAAACAAAAAUCUUUUUAACUGAUAAAUUCUUUCAUAUUCUUAAUUGAAGAGAAGUAGUAUUUAUUGGACCCCAUUACUAUAUGCAAACUGUUGAUUUUAGAGUCACGAAAAUUCCUGGAGCUAUAAGCCCUAAAAAUGUUUCUCUACAAAUAUAAUAAAAUUUGAGACAGAAAAGUCAACAACUUUGCAAAAAAAAAAAAAAAAAAAAGGGGGGGGGCAGGGAAUCCAAUAAUAAAUCAUAUCACAUUAAGUGCAGAAAUUAUGGACAAGAGUAGCAUUAAAGUACUCAGUAGAAAAAUGCAAAUGUAUACUCUAGUGAAGAAAAUAGAUAUCAAAGUCAAAAAGGUUUAUGAAAAAGACCAAUGAAAACUUUUUGAUGCCUCAACAAGAAAAAAAAAAAUUUGAAAGAAACAAGUCUCCUCUUAAAAAAAAAAAAAAAAAAAAAAAAAAAGGCCCCAGUCUUAAGAAAUGGCUCUUCUCACACAAAAUCAAUUUUUCUAUAUAAGAAAAAAAAAUUCACCUCAUAACUCAGAAACAAAUCUGUUACUAUUUAAAUAAUGAUGUAGAAUUGAGAAAAUAAAUUUGAUACUGAUUUCAUUUUGUAAUUCACUCUAUUCUGUAUUACCACCAUCAUCUUGUAUAACCACCUAAAUUCACAAUAUUUUGUCUUUUGACAAAUUCAUAAAUUUUAAAGUUCAGUUUUCUCAUUAUGACCAAUUUUCAAAUGUUCAGCUAAUCUUUAAGUCAUUUUUAAUGAAAAGAAAUCUGUUAUCUCAAUACCACCAACUGUCCUUGAUCUAUUAAAGAAAAUUUGUAUUCUAUCUUUGCACAAUUAAAUGUGUUAAUUAUCUUCGUAGUCUGAAAGGGGGUGGAAUGGGGAUGAUGGUGUCAAUCAAUCAGCAAUUUCUUAGCAACAAGAUGAAAGGAAGAGUUGUUGCUAGUCCUGUUCUCUUGAUGUCUAUUCAAUUAUAUUGUCUCCUACAUCUAUGAUAACUUCUGACUUCAUAGUCAAUCAUGCCAUUCCUCAUUUAUGAAGCUGCCUUCUAGUUUUUGAAUGCUCCUUUUGUCCGCAAAAAUGGUCUAUCUGUUGCCAUUUGAGAUCUUUUUGCUUGCUGGGGAAACAAAGCGACUCUUUUUAUUAGUACCUGCUAACUUUACCAAUAAAUUGACUGUAGUCAGAGAUAUGUGGCUCAACUAUCUUAUUUCAAUCACAAAAUCAACAUUAUCAGGUCCCCCAUUUUCUUUCAUUAUUGAAAAAAUAUGAAAACAAAAACACUUUAAGCAUGAAUUAAGUAUGACUACUGAGUCACUUUCAUUUUGUAAAACUAACAACUUUGUUAAAGAAAAAGAGCUUAGGUACUUAGCCACCUCAGCAGCAUCUAUACAUACGUUCACUCCCUUUUGAUCACUGACUCCCCCAGAUUACAGGAAAGUGCUACUUACCCUGAUGAUGAGGCAGGUAUUCCCAAAGGAAGUCUGAAAGACUGCAGAGAAGCUCACAGACAUAUAUAUAUGCACACACAGAGUGUGUACACUAGUGUAACCCCGGCAUGUGUGGGGUAGCACAUCCUGGAAGAACAGUUUCUGUAAGCCAAACUCAUUACAUCCAAGAAUGUUGGAGAAGGAAGAACAGCCAUUUGACAAAACAUUACACAAGAAAACCUUAUAAUGUUUACUAAAAGUUAUCCUCUAGAGAAGGUAAUAAAAACAGACAAUUAUUUCUAUACAUUCAACUAUAACAUUUAUAGUCCUUCAUAUCCUGACACUUUAAAAUGUUUUAACAAUGAAAAAAAAAUCACUUUCUCAGAUUCUUGCAAAAAUUACCCAUCUUCAUUUACUAGUUUACUUGCCAUCAUAAAUGACUUGAAAAUUACAUUAUUACACUUCAAAAUCUAUUUAGAAAAUAUAGUAUUUUCAAAAUGGAGUUUUUGCAAAGUAUCCACUUCAAUGGGCUAGAAUUCCUAUUUACAACAUCUUAUUGCAAAAAAGCCCAGAGACCAUGUUGUUCCAUGCCAUGUACAUAUCAACAAACCACACAAUAACCAAACUGUAAAGGCCACAGUUCUUAAUUUUAGAUUACAGUUACAGAAAUAAUAUCCAAUCACUGUUUCACAUAAAUAUGUCCAAAUAUGGUACUAUGUAUGGACUUUGCCAAGGCAUAUCUGUGUCUGGAAAUACCAUUUUAAGUAGUAUGUCCAAAAGUACCCUGUCAUGUGUUAAACAUAGCUGCUGCCAAUUGAAUAUUAUGUUACUAAAAACUUUUCCCAGAUGACUACUAAUGCUAGGAUUCUCCAAAAGACAACUCAAAAAACUGAGCAUAAACACAAAUACUAUUGCAGUGUUCUCACUACUAAUAAGCAGCUUCAGCGCACACACAUACAUGCGC